AAAAGAAUAAAAAGAAAUAAUAUUUGUUCCAUUUUCAGCCCUUCUUAGAAUCAUAGAAUCCUUAGAGUUGGAAGGCACCUUUAAAGGCCAUCUGGCCCAGCUCCCCUGCAAUGAACAGGGACACCACAACUACCUUGAAAGUCUCCAGGGACAGAACUUCAAUCACACCUCCAAGCAACCUGUGCCUGUACCUCACCACCCCCACUAACAGUCACGCAACCUCACACGUUUCUGCAGACACACCUAUAGAUGGUUCCUUCAUCCAGUGCACGAAGCUGUCUGGACCCUCACGGUCUUGGAAGAUUUUUUUCCUACUGAGUUUGAAAGAAACUGGCUGAUGCUUUCCAAAACGCAUCUGGGAGGAUCAGCAAGGCAUGAUUUGUCCAAUUACGCUUCUCAAAGGCAGCAACGACCUGAGACUGAGCCAGAUGAUCUCUGAGAUGAGAGACUAAGGUUGAUGGAUGUGCUGUCUUCUGGGACCUCAGUGUGCACCAGCCAUACCAGUCUGGCCCACAGUGAUCUAUGAGUUUCUCUACUUCCUUAGUAAAAGUUUGUUCUACUUUUAAAGGAAACACCGCUGUGUAGAAAGCAGAGAAGACUUUAUCAUUCAUUGACCUCAACUGCACAAAAUUUACAGCAUUUUUUCCAUCCAAAAUAUGUUGCCACUGUCACAGUACUGACCUACUUUACAACAGCCCAGGUGGGAUGGCAAUAAGGCUUGGAUGCUGAUCUGUUCAGAAUGACAGAAGAAUUCAGUAAUUUCUUUCUGACCUAUAACCUAAGUCUCCCCUCUUCUAGUAUAAAGCCAUUAUAAAGUAAGCUAAGUAUUAAAGCCAUUCCCCUUAUCCUGCCACUGUCUGCCUGAGUAAAUAGUCACACUCCAGCUUUUAUGUAAGCUUUCUUCAUGUAGUGAAAGGCCACAAUGAGGUCUCCCUGCACCUUCCUCUUCUCCAGACUGGACAAGCGCAGCUCCCUCAGCCUUUCUUCAUAGGAGAAGUGCUCCAGCCCAUCGGUUUUACCACCAGUUUCACCUCCCCUGAUUUUAAGGUCAUUCUUAGGAGACUAUGUAGGAUGUGAAAAAUUCACUGCGUACUUUCUGAGAAACUCUGC
ensembl:lncRNA